ensembl:lncRNA
CUUAGAAACAACCUGGAAACCACAUAACAACAUACUAAAAACAUUCAGAAUUUCUUAGCAAGUACAUAGCAACACCCUGGCAACCACCUACAGCAUAGUAGCAAAUUUACUCAUAAUUUCAUCGGGAAAUGUAAAGCUCUGGUUGUAGUGGCUCACGCUAAUUUACUGUGGUAACUGUGGCCAUUUUCUUGUUCUUGUCAUGUAACUCGAGUUGGCAGCAGGCGUGUGUGGGACGCCAGAGCAGGAGUCUAAAGCCUCCAGUGACGGCAGCACUGAAGCUACAUGAACAAAACCUGACCAUCAUGUUCUCCAACAUUAUUUGAGAUCAUUUUUCUGAAAGCAUCCCGAGCUUCAAUGGAAUCAAGAAAAACUGACCAUCUGUGCAAAAGUUUUGCAGACUGGAAACGUGAGACUGAUUCAAUUGAUGCAGAAAGCCUUCAGGCCUGAAGGUUCAGAGUUUGACAUGGAAGUUUUCAAGCCAAACAACAUACUUGU